rnacentral:lncRNA from 1 species
UUGGCUCUUCCACCAAAAGUUAAAUCCUUUGUAUGGCGGGGGUUGCGACAUUUUAUCCCGAGUAAAAGUCGUUUACUUGAGAAGGUCUGUGUCAUUGAUCCUAGUUGUGUUAGUUGCAGGGGGAAAUGAGAGUUCGGAGCAUGCUAUUAUGCAUUCCCCGACUGUUACGGUUGUUUGGGACAGUCUUGGGAUGGUUCCUAUGCAUAACUCUUUAUUGAUUUUAUGUAUUACCUACUACAUCUUCCGGACUCUUCUCGCAGCAAACUUUUUCUCACUAUUUCUUGGCAGUAUUUGGUUCCAGAUGAACCUUUUGUGUUGGAAGAAUGUGGUGACUCAACCUGCCAAAGUUGCGCCUUUUGUAGAUACGUUCCUUCAGGAUUGGCGAGAGGCGACUGUUGUUUUCCAACGUGUCCAAGGCGUAUCUUUCGGGCAUCCUCCUCGUCUGCUG